rnacentral:rRNA from 1 species
GACGAACGCUGGCGGCGUGCUUAACACAUGCAAGUCGAACGAAGUGGCGCACGGGUGAGUAACGCGUAAUCAACCUGCCCUUCAGAGGGUGACAACCGUUGGAAACGACUGCUAAUACCGCAUACUGUAGGUGGGUAUUGCGUCUGAUUAGCUCGUUGGCUGGGUAACGGCCCACCAAGGCGAUGAUCAGUAGCCGGUCUGAGAGGAAGAACGGCCAAAAUGGGAAUGGGACAAGGCCCAAGCUCCUACGGGAGGGAGCAGGGGGGAAUCUUCCGCAAUGGAGGAAAGUCUGACGGAGCAACGCCGCGGGAGGGAUGACGGGCUUCGGGUUGUAAAGCUCUGUUAAUCGGGACGCGGUACCGGAAUAGAAAGCCACGGCUAACUACGUGCCAGCAGCCGCGGUAAUUC